AGCUCCAAUAGCGUAUAUUAAAGUUGUUGCAGUUAAAAAGCUCGUAGUUGGAUUUCGGGGCGGCCUGGCUGGUCCGCCGCGAGGCGAGCACUGGUCAGCCGCCCUUCCUCUCGAAAGCCCCGACUGCUCUUCACUGCAGUGGUCGGGUAGUUCGGGACGUUUACUUUGAAAAAAUUAGAGUGUUCAAGGCAGGCUCUCGCCUGAAUACAUUAGCAUGGAAUAAUGGAAUAGGACUACGGUCCCUAUUUCGUUGGUUUGACGGACCGAAGUAAUGAUUAAGAGGGACAAUUGGGGGCAUCCGUAUUUCGUAGUCAGAGGUGAAAUUCUUGGACCUACGAAAGACGAACAACUGCGAAAGCAUUUGCCAAGAGUGUUUUCAUUAAUCAAGAACGAAAGUAGG
rnacentral:rRNA from 1 species